rnacentral:rRNA from 1 species
UUUGAUUCUGGCUCAGGAUUAACGCUAGCGGCAGGCCUAAUACAUGCAAGUCGAACGGGAUUUCGGUUAGCAAUAACUGGAUGAGAGUGGCGCACGGGUGCGUAACACGUAUGCAACCUACCUAUAACUGGGGGAUAGCCUCCCGAAAGGGAGAUUAACACCGCAUAACAUUAUGAAGUGGCAUCACUUUAUAAUUAAAUCUACGGAGGUUAUAGAUGGGCAUGCGUCCGAUUAGCUAGUUGGUGAGGUAACGGCUCACCAAGGCUCCGAUCGGUAGGGGGUCUGAGAGGAUGAUCCCCCACACUGGUACUGAGACACGGACCAGACUCCUACGGGAGGCAGCAGUAAGGAAUAUUGGACAAUGGGCGCAAGCCUGAUCCAGCCAUGCCGCGUGAAGGAUGAAGGCCCUAUGGGUCGUAAACUUCUUUUAUACGGGACAAAACCCCCCGAUGCGUCGGGGGUUGAUGGUACUGUAAGAAUAAGGGUCGGCUAACUUCGUGCCAGCAGCCGCGGUAAUACGAAGGACCCGAGCGUUAUCCGGAUUUAUUGGGUUUAAAGGGUGCGUAGGCGGAUUAGUAAGUCAGUGGUGAAAGCCCGUCGCUCAACGGCGGAACUGCCAUUGAUACUGCUAGUCUUGAGUAUGGUUGAGGUGGGCGGAAUGUGUCAUGUAGCGGUGAAAUGCUUAGAUAUGACCCAGAACACCAAUUGCGAAGGCAGCUCGCUAAGCCAUAACUGACGCUGAUGCACGAAAGCGUGGGGAGCAAACAGGAUUAGAUACCCUGGUAGUCCACGCCCUAAACUAUGAUCACUCGUUGUUGGCGAUACACAGUCAGCGACUAAAGGGAAACCAUUAAGUGAUCCACCUGGGGAGUACGACCGCAAGGUUGAACUCAAAGAAUUGACGGGGCCCGCACAAGCGGAGGAGCAUGGUGGUUAAUUCGAUGAUACCGCGAGGAA